ensembl:rRNA 5S_rRNA 5S ribosomal RNA
GCUUACGACCACACCGGCCUGAGUACGCCUGAUCUCGUCUGAUCUCGGAAGCUAAGCAGGGUCGGGCCUGGUUAGUACUUGAAUGGGAGACUUCCUGGGAAUACCAGGAGCUGUAAGCU